ensembl:Y_RNA Y_RNA Y RNA
GGCUGGUCCAGAGGAGUGAGUUCUCUCAAUUGACUGUUCACAGCCAGUUACAGAUCGGGCUCCUGGUUCUGCUCUUCCCUCUUCUCACUACCGCACUUGACUAGUCUUUU